GAUGAACGCUGGCGGCGCGCCUAACACAUGCAAGUCGAACGAGUAAGACGCCUUCGGGCGUGGAUAGAGUGGCGAACGGGUGAGUAACACGUGACCAACCUGCCCCCUCCUCCGGGACAACCUCGGGAAACCGAGGCUAAUACCGGAUACUCCGGGCCCCCCGCAUGGGGAGCCCGGGAAAGCCCUGGCGGGAGGGGAUGGGGUCGCGGCCCAUCAGGUAGACGGCGGGGUAACGGCCCACCGUGCCUGCAACGGGUAGCCGGGCUGAGAGGCCGAUCGGCCACAUUGGGACUGAGACACGGCCCAGACUCCUACGGGAGGCAGCAGUGGGGAAUUUUGCGCAAUGGGGGCAACCCUGACGCAGCGGCGCCGCGUGCGGGACGAAGUCAUUCGUGACGUAAACCGCUUUCAGCGAGGAAGAACCAUGACGGUACUCGCAGAAGAAGCCCCGGCUAACUACGUGCCAGCAGCCGCGGCAAUACGUAGGGGGCGAGCGUUAUCCGGAAUCAUUGGGCGUAAAGCGCGCGCAGGCGGGCUUUCAAGCGGCGGCGUCGAAGCCGGGGGCUCAACCCCCGGAAGCGCCCCGAACUGGAAGCCUCGGAUGCGGCAGGGGGAGGCGGAAUUCCCGGUGUAGCGGUGAAAUGCGCAGAUAUCGGGAAGAACACCGACGGCGAAGGCAGCCUCCUGGGCCGGCAUCGACGCUGAGGCGCGAAAGCUCGAGGGAGCGAACAGGAUUAGAUACCCUGGUAGUCCCAGCCGU
rnacentral:rRNA from 1 species